rnacentral:rRNA from 1 species
GAUUAGAAGCUUGCUUCUAUGACGUUAGCGGCGGACGGGUGAGUAACACGUGGGCAACCUGCCUGUAAGACUGGGAUAACUUCGGGAAACCGAAGCUAAUACCGGAUAGGAUCUUCUCCUUCAUGGGAGAUGAUUGAAAGAUGGUUUCGGCUAUCACUUACAGAUGGGCCCGCGGUGCAUUAGCUAGUUGGUGAGGUAACGGCUCACCAAGGCAACGAUGCAUAGCCGACCUGAGAGGGUGAUCGGCCACACUGGGACUGAGACACGGCCCAGACUCCUACGGGAGGCAGCAGUAGGGAAUCUUCCGCAAUGGACGAAAGUCUGACGGAGCAACGCCGCGUGAGUGAUGAAGGCUUUCGGGUCGUAAAACUCUGUUGUUAGGGAAGAACAAGUACGAGAGUAACUGCUCGUACCUUGACGGUACCUAACCAGAAAGCCACGGCUAACUACGUGCCAGCAGCCGCGGUAAUACGUAGGUGGCAAGCGUUAUCCGGAAUUAUUGGGCGUAAAGCGCGCGCAGGCGGUUUCUUAAGUCUGAUGUGAAAGCCCACGGCUCAACCGUGGAGGGUCAUUGGAAACUGGGGAACUUGAGUGCAGAAGAGAAAAGCGGAAUUCCACGUGUAGCGGUGAAAUGCGUAGAGAU